AGACUCACUUUCUCUGAGUUAACACUUCUUCAUGCAAAACAUCAAGACCACUUUCUAGAAGACACUAAAGAUGGACUCUUCUCCAGGCUUCGUGGCUGUGAUACUUCUCCUACUCGGAAGGACUCGUGGAGACUCCGUGACUCAAACCGAAGGCCAAGUGACCAUCUCAGAAAAUGGAUUCCUGAGAAUAAAUUGCACUUAUUCAGCCACAAGCAUACGUUACCCUACUCUUUUCUGGUACUUUCAAUACCCCGGAGAAAGUCUACAACUCCUCCUGAAAGUCAUUACGGCUGGCGAGAAGGGAAGCAGCAGAGGGUUUGAAGCCACGUACAAUAAAGAAACCACGUCCUUCCACUUGCAGAAAGCCUCAGUGCAAGCGUCAGACUCGGCCGUGUACUACUGUGCUCUGGGUGACACAGUGGCAGAAACCACAGGGGGAGCUGAGCACAAACUGAGAGGCAACAGGUGGUCUGGCUGCUGAGAAGCUGCCUCUGAAAUCACCUGACUUCAGCACGGCCUUCCGUGUGAGACCAAAUCAACUCUGUUGGUGAAAAGUCAUACAAGUGUCCUCCUGCCAGGCUACAUUAACUUCAGAAAUCCUUAGAGAAACGAACAAGUCUCGGGGUCAUUGUGGUAUCACAUUUAAGU